rnacentral:misc_RNA from 1 species
GAAAUGCGAUAAGUAAUGUGAAUUGCAGAAUUCAGUGAAUCAUCGAAUCUUUGAACGCACAUUGCGCCCCUUGGUAUUCCAUGGGGCAUGCCUGUUCGAGCGUCAUUUGUACCCUCAAGCUCUGCUUGGUGUUGGGUGUUUGUCCCCGUCUCCGCGCGUGGACUCGCCCCAAAGUGAUUGGCAGCCGGCGUACUGGUCCCGGAGCGCAGCACAUGUCGCGCAAACGAGUGCCUUGGUACGGCGGCGUCCAUAAGCCCCUCUCUCACGCUCUUGACCUCGGAUCAGGUAGGGAUACCCGCUGAACUUAAGC